rnacentral:lncRNA from 1 species
AGAUGUUGCGCUGUUCGUCUCAGUCUGUCUGCUUGCUCUUUAAACCCUCGGCUCUUUGUUAAACGUUUCUUGCACCUCCUCCGUCCGUGUCUCCGCUCUUUUCCCGGCAUCGUGGACCACCUUCGCUGUGGUCACUCCGAGUGCUCUUCCAGGUGGAUCGCCCGUCUCCUCCUCCUCCACCGCCUGCGUGUUCGUCUUGUUCCUUCGUCUGAAAGCUGUGGUGCGCUUUCCAUGCUCAUCGUCCCCUUGACGGGCCGGUCGACGCCAACGAUGACAUUGAGGUGGACAAGCCAUGCGGUCCUGCUGCUCAGCACAGGGAGCUCUUUGCAGUUCCCGUGACGGCACGUGACGGGAGACAGCAUGGGAAAAAGGACGCCUGCGACUGGGUCACUUCGCUGGACAGCAGCAACGGACACAGCACUGUAAACGGAGCCCAGACGCAGGAAUCUGCCACAGCAAAUGCCUUUGGCAGAGCAGCAUGUGAAACUCCUCGGAUGUGGGGACGUGUUAGCAGCUAGGACCCUUAUUAGACCCAUUUGUUUAAACUUGAACCUCUGCCCGAUAGACCGAGAUCGCUGAGGGCAGGCCCAGGUCUCUGUCCAGGAGCCGCUGAGCCCCUGGAGUGACACACGAUCGGUGUUGGUCACACAUGGGGGACGGGGUCCCUCCCAACUCCAGUUCCAACGCUCUGGAAUCACGUGCCUGGGGCGUGACGUGCCUCGCCGUGGGGGACAGUCUGGUCCAGAGGACGGCCCUGCGCUCCCUGCCUGUGAAGAGGGGGUGGCAGCUUCGGCGUUCACCCGGUUCAGCGCACAGGACGCGCGGUCUGCUCCUGGAAAGGCAUCUCCCAGCGAGCGCAUCCAGCCCUGGUUUCUCAGGAGCGUUUCCUCUGAGGUGUGUUUGCUGUCACAGCUGUCACACCAAGGAUCCCCACGUUCCCCAGCCGCCCUUGAAUGCGCUGUCUCCACGUGUCUCCCGUCUGCCCGGGUUACUUGUGAAUCGGGGAAGGCGGCCGCUCUCUCGGCAGCACCCCUCGUCUUUUGGGGCCUCACCCCGACACUGAGCACUCGCGGUGCUAGCAGGCACCUCAGACGCCUCCUGCGGCCUCUGCCCCUCUCCCGCCCCGACGCCGCCCAGCUUUGUCGGUGUUUGUUGCCAAAGCAGCACUUCCUUCUUGGGACCAAACCCGAGCCAGCGCACGUCCACGGCCCAGGCCUGCGGACCAGGGCUGGACCCAGGGAAACGCCUUCUCCCGGGGGGCCCGCAGAUGGGAGUUGGGGUGGAGUCCGGCGAGGGCUCCCUUCAGACCUGGGGACGCCGCCUCCUUGUGUGUCUGCGCAGGGCCUCUUCCGGCUGAUCCUGGCGGAGUCCCACCUGCUGCCUCUGAGGCCUCGCUCUGUCCCUUUCAGGCAGAUGCUUCAGAGGAGCAGAGGCAGAGCGAGGGCAUCGUGCCCCGGUGCUGGGUCCUCAAAUACUCAGGCUCGGCAGUCCCGCCACCUGCCUCUGCCGGCUGGUGGCCUGGAGAGCUGGCGCUGUCCCUGUGGCCGGUGCGCGUCCGAGCCCCAGGCCAGGACUGAGACCCCAAUGGCUGACUGCAGGGCAGGAGCAGGCGGGCAUUCCAGCUCAGGUCGACAGACAGGGCCCGGCCUGUCCCUUCUCCACCUCCGUGUGGAGACACCACAACAGAGCAGAUGCUGCUGCCAAGCCAGUCAAAGCAGGCUUCAGUCCCAGGGCACAUAAAGUGGUGCUUGCCCCGUACGCAGCUGCUAAGUGGCCGCAGCGUUAUGGUCAAGACACAAUGUGCACCUUCAUUAAAAGUCCUGAUUGUAGGAGUUCCCACUGUGGCUCCAUGGGUUAAGAACCUGAUGUUGUCUCCAUGAGGAUGAAGGUUCAAUCCCUGGCCUCGCUUAGUGGGUUAAGUGGUAUUGCCACUGAGCUGUGGUGUAGGUCGAAGAGGCUCUGGUGUAGGCUGGUGGCUACAGCUCCAAUUCGACCCCUAGCCUGGGAACCUCCAUAUGCAGCAAGUGCAGCCCUAAAA